AGCGGUCAUAUCACGUUGAAAGACCGGUUCUCGUACGAUCACCGACGUUAAGCAAUGUCGAGCUCGUUCAGUACCUAGAUGGGUGACCACUUAGGAAUACUAGAUGCUGUAAG